rnacentral:snRNA from 1 species
AUACUUACCUGGCAGGGGAGAUACCAUGAUCACGAAGGUGGUUUUCCCAGGACGAGGCUUAUCCAUUGCACUCUGGAUGUGCUGACCCCUGCGAUUUCCCCAAAUGUGGGAAACUCGACUGCAUAGUUUGUGGUAGUGGGGGACUGCGUUUGCGCUUUCUCCUG